GUUGGCAAGGUCAAUAGGUCGGUGAGAUUAACAAGGUUAACGAAGUCAGCGAUAUUAAUAAAAUCGAUGAGGUCAGGAAGGUUAAUGAAGUUGGUGAGGUCGGCAAGGUUGGCGAGAUCGACAAGGUUUGCAAGGUUAGUGAGGUCGACGAGUAUUAAGGAAGGAGAAGGAAACCCUCACACACUAAAGUAGGAGCAAUGGUUGGAUGAAGGCUUAAGACGGGAACCUGUGCACUUUGGGGUUUAUCAUGUGAGAGAGAAGAACAUGAAACCUUGGGUAUUUUGAAACAUAAAGGAGAUGAGGAAGGUGGAGGAGACAGGAGACAGGUGACAAGUGUCCAAUAUAAAUUAGUUUUGAUGAUAAUUUGACACUUAUCUUGUUUUGAUUCUGUUAAAUAUUUGUGUUAAUCACCUCAAUUUUACUUGUUUUGCAGGUUUUGAUUAAGUCGGAGAGUCAAAGAGAAAAUAUGAAAAUAUAAAGAAAUUCUGAGAAAAAUACAGUAAAGUAACUUCAGUGUGAAAUCUGGGACUUGAGUUACACGAAGAAAAUCCAUCUUAGAGAAAAAACUUGAGCCAUGACCUGAGACUAAAGCCAUGAAGAAUCCUUCACCCUAAAAGUAACCUCAGGAGGCUUCAACCUAGAAACACAAAGCUUAAGCCAUAGAGGAAACCAACCUUGGGAGUAUACCUCAUGGCUGGAGCCAUGGAAGCCACCACCGUUGAAAC
rnacentral:lncRNA from 1 species